UAGGGAAUAUUGGACAAUGGGGGCAACCCUGAUCCAGCCAUGCCGCGUGAGUGAAGAAGGCCCUCGGGUUGUAAAGCUCUUUUGUCCGGAAAGAAAAGCAUUCGGUGAAUACCCGGAUGUUCUGACGGUACCGGAAGAAUAAGCACCGGCUAACUUCGUGCCAGCAGCCGCGGUAAUACGAAGGGUGCAAGCGUUACUCGGAAUUACUGGGCGUAAAGCGUGCGUAGGUGGUUGUUUAAGUCUGAUGUGAAAGCCCUGGGCUCAACCUGGGAAUGGUAUUGGAAACUGGGCAGCUAGAGUGCGGUAGAGGGUAGUGGGAUUCCCGGUGUAGCAGUGAAAUGCGUAGAGAUCGGGAGGAACAUCUGUGGCGAAGGCGACUGCCUGGACCAGCACUGACACUGAGGCACGAAAGCGUGGGGAGCAAAC
rnacentral:rRNA from 1 species